UACGGGGGGGGCAAGCGUUGUUCGGAAUUACUGGGCGUAAAGGGCUCGUAGGCGGCCAACUAAGUCGGACGUGAAAUCCCUCGGCUUAACCGGGGAACUGCGUCCGAUACUGGAUGGCUUGAGUUUGGGAGAGGGAUGCGGAAUUCCAGGUGUAGCGGUGAAAUGCGUAGAUAUCUGGAGGAACACCGGUGGCGAAGGCGGCAUCCUGGACCAACACUGACGCUGAUGAGCGAAAGCCAGGGGGGCAAACGGG
rnacentral:rRNA from 1 species